GACAGAGGGUGCAAACGUUGUUCGGAAUUACUGGGCGUAAAGCGCGCGUAGGCGGACCUGCAAGUCGGGGGUGAAAGCCCGAGGCUCAACCUCGGAACUGCCUUCGAUACUGCGGGUCUCGAGUCCGGGAGAGGUGAGUGGAAUUCCUAGUGUAGAGGUGAAAUUCGUAGAUAUUAGGAAGAACACCAGUGGCGAAGGCGGCUCACUGGCCCGGUACUGACGCUGAGGCGCGAAAGCGUGGGGAGCAAACAGA
rnacentral:rRNA from 1 species